rnacentral:rRNA from 1 species
UUGCCUACGGGGGGCAGCAGUGGGGAAUAUUGGGCAAUGGGCGCAAGCCUGACCCAGCAACGCCGCGUGAAGGAAGAAGGCUUUCGGGUUGUAAACUUCUUUUAUCAGGGACGAAGCAAGUGACGGUACCUGAUGAAUAAGCCACGGCUAACUACGUGCCAGCAGCCGCGGUAAUACGUAGGUGGCAAGCGUUAUCCGGAUUUACUGGGUGUAAAGGGCGUGUAGGCGGGAGUGCAAGUCAGAUUUGAAAACUAUGGGCUCAACCCAUAGCCUGCAUUUGAAACUGUACUUCU